UACGAAGGGUGCAAGCGUUGUUCGGAAUCAUUGGGCGUAAAGCGCGCGCAGGCGGAUCAACAAGUCAGAUGUGAAAUCCCGGAGCUCAACUUCGGAACUGCGUCUGAAACUGUUAGUCUAGAAUGUCGGAGGGGGCAGGGGAAUUUCACGUGUAGGGGUAAAAUCCGUAGAGAUGUGAAGGAACACCGGAGGCGAAGGCGCCUGCCUGGACGACUAUUGACGCUGAGGCGCGAAAGCGUGGGGAGCAAACAGG
rnacentral:rRNA from 1 species